rnacentral:lncRNA from 1 species
ACAACAUUCAUUGCCCACAGUUCUAGAAGCUGCAAGUUCAAGGUCAGGGUGAAGGCCUGGUCAGGUUCGGAAUCACAGUUGGAAAAUGGUCUCCAAGUAUAUACAUGUGACCUAAGACUGAAAACUUCUGAAGAAUGGUGCCAAAACCCCAAGAUGAAGACAUGAAAGCAAGCAGAGGAAUGGAUUAUAGGAACUGAAGACGAGAGGAGAAUCCCUAAGAAAGUUCGUCAAGGGGGCUAAGAUGCCCUGGUGAUGACACUUAGUGAAGGUGUGUCACUAUGUGCCUGAAAAUUCCACAGAGUUAAUAGCAAAAGUGACCAAGAAGUAGCAUUCAAACUUAGACUAUGUGUGGGGGGGGG